rfam:Myotis brandtii contig292218, whole genome shotgun sequence.
CUGUCUCUUGCUUCACAGUGUUUGGACAGAGCAG